UUCUGACCGUAAACGAUGCCAACUAGCGAUCCGCCGGUGGAUUUUUAGCCCUGGUGGGUAGCUUCCCGGAAACGAAAGUCUUCCGGUUCCGGGGGAAGUAUGGUUGCAAAGCUGAAACUUAAAGGAAUUGACGGAAGGGCACCACCAGGAGUGGAGCCUGCGGCUUAAUUUGACUCAACACGGGGAAACUCACCCGGCCCGGACACCGUAAGGAUUGACAGAUUGAUAGCUCUUUCAUGAUUCGGUGGUUGGUGGUGCAUGGCCGUUCUUAGUUCGUGGAUCGAUUUGUCUGGUUUAUUCCGAUAACGAGCGAGACUCUAGCCUACUAAAUAGUAACGAGAUUAUCAAUGUCUCAGUUGCUUCUUAGAGGGAUUUUCGGUGUUUAGCCGCACGAGAUUGAGCAAUAACAGGUCUGUGAUGCCCUUAGAUGUCCGGGGCUGCACGCGCGCUACACUGGCGAAAUCAGCGUGCUGUAUCCAUUCUCGAAAGGGAUUGGUAAACCCAUGAAAAUUUGCCGUGCUUGGGAUCGGAAAUUGCAAUUAUUUUCCGUGAACGAGGAAUCCAAGUAAGUGC
rnacentral:rRNA from 1 species